GGCUCUCGGGCCCGAGUUGUAAUUUGUAGAGGAUGCUUUUGGUGAGGUGCCUUCCGAGUUCCCUGGAACGGGACGCCAUAGAGGGUGAGAGCCCCGUCUGGUUGGACACCGAGCCUCUGUAAAGCUCCUUCGACGAGUCGAGUAGUUUGGGAAUGCUGCUCUAAAUGGGAGGUAUAUGUCUUCUAAAGCUAAAUACUGGCCAGAGACCGAUAGCGCACAAGUAGAGUGAUCGAAAGAUGAAAAGCACUUUGAAAAGAGAGUUAAAAAGCACGUGAAAUUGUUGAAAGGGAAGCGCUUGUGACCAGACUUGGGCUUGGUUGAUCAUCCGGCGUUCUCGCCGGUGCACUCUUCCAGUUCAGGCCAGCAUCAGUUUGCUUCGGGGGAUAAAAGUUUCGGGAAUGUGGCUCCUCCGGGAGUGUUAUAGCCCGUUGCAUAAUACCCUGGGGCGGACUGAGGUUCGCGCAUUUAUGCAAGGAUGCUGGCGUAAUGGUCAUCAGCGACCCGUCUUGAAACACGGACCAAGGAGUCGUCUUCGUAUGCGAGUGUUCGGGUGUCAAACCCCUACGCGUAAUGAAAGUGAACGCAGGUGAGAGCUUCGGCGCAUCAUCGACCGAUCCUGAUGUUCUCGGAUGGAUUUGAGUAAGAGCAUACGGGGCCGGACCCGAAAGAAGGUGAACUAUGCCUGUAUAGGGUGAAGCCAGAGGAAACUCUGGUGGAGGCUCGCAGCGGUUCUGACGUGCAAAUCGAUCGUCAAAUAUGGGCAUGGGGGCGAAAGACUAAUCGAACCUUCUAGUAGCUGGUUUCCGCCGAAGUUUCCCUCAGGAUAGCAGUGUUGAACUCAGUUUUAUGAGGUAAAGCGAAUGAUUAGGGACUCGGGGGCGCUAUAUUGCCUUCAUCCAUUCUCAAACUUUAAAUAUGUAAGAAGCCCUUGUUGCUUAAUUGAACGUGGGCAUUCGAAUGUAUCAACACUAGUGGGCCAUUUUUGGUAAGCAGAACUGGCGAUGCGGGAUGAACCGAACGCGAGGUUAAGGUGCCAGAGUAGACGCUCAUCAGACACCACAAAAGGUGUUAGUACAUCUUGACAGCAGGACGGUGGCCAUGGAAGUCGGAAUCCGCUAAGGACUGUGUAACAACUCACCUGCCGAAUGUACUAGCCCUGAAAAUGGAUGGCGCUCAAGCGUCUCACCCAUACCUCGCCCUCAGGGUAGGAUCUAUGCCCUGAGGAGUAGGCGGACGUGGAGGUC
rnacentral:rRNA from 1 species